GUUCAAAAGUGAAAGACGGUCUUGCUGUCACUUAUAGAUGGAUCCGCGCUGCAUUAGCUAGUUGGUAAGGUAAUGGCUUACCAAGGCAACGAUGCAUAGCCGACCUGAGAGGGUGAUCGGCCACACUGGAACUGAGACACGGUCCAGACUCCUACGGGAGGCAGCAGUAGGGAAUCUUCCGCAAUGGGCGAAAGCCUGACGGAGCAACGCCGCGUGAGUGAUGAAGGUCUUCGGAUCGUAAAACUCUGUUAUUAGGGAAGUACAUAUGUGUAAGUAACUGUGCACAUCUUGACGGUACCUAAUCAGAAAGCCACGGCUAACUACGUGCCAGCAGCCGCGGUAAUACGUAGGUGGCAAGCGUUAUCCGGAAUUAUUGGGCGUAAAGCGCGCGUAGGCGGUUUUUUAAGUCUGAUGUGAAAGCCCACGGCUCAACCGUGGAGGGUCAUUGGAAACUGGAAAACUUGAGUGCAGAAGAGGAAAGUGGAAUUCCAUGUGUAGCGGUGAAAUGCGCAGAGAUAUGGAGGAACACCAGUGGCGAAGGCGACUUUCUGGUCUGUAACUGACGCUGAUGUGCGAAAGCGUG
rnacentral:rRNA from 1 species